rnacentral:rRNA from 1 species
AGUGAGUAGAGUGGCGGACGGGUGAGUAACGCGUGGGAAUCUACCCAGUAGUGGGGGACAACUACCGGAAACGGUAGCUAAUACCGCAUACGCCCUAUGGGGGAAAGGCUUCGGCCGCUAUUGGAUGAGCCCGCGUCAGAUUAGCUAGUUGGUAGGGUAAAGGCCUACCAAGGCAACGAUCUGUAGCUGGUCUGAGAGGACGAACAGCAACACUGGGACUGAGACACGGCCCAGACUCCUACGGGAGGCAGCAGUGGGGAAUCUUAGACAAUGGGCGCAAGCCUGAUCUAGCCAUGCCGCGUGAGUGAUGAAGGCCUUAGGGUCGUAAAGCUCUUUCGCCUGUGAUGAUAAUGACAGUAGCAGGUGAAGAAACCCCGGCUAACUCCGUGCCAGCAGCCGCGGUAAUACGGAGGGGGUUAGCGUUGUUCGGAAUUACUGGGCGUAAAGCGCACGUAGGCGGAUUAGAAAGUUAGGGGUGAAAUCCCGGGGCUCAACCUCGGAACUGCCUCUAAAACUCCUAGUCUAGAGUUCGAGAGAGGUGAGUGGAAUUCCAAGUGUAGAGGUGAAAUUCGUAGAUAUUUGGAGGAACACCAGUGGCGAAGGCGGCUCACUGGCUCGAUACUGACGCUGAGGUGCGAAAGUGUGGGGAGCAAACAGGAUUAGAUACCCUGGUAG